AGGCAGGGAGAGCUCUGAAUUUAAGGCCAGCUUGAUCUACAUAGUGAGCUGUAGGCCAGCCAAGGCUAUAUAUAUAGUGAGACACAAAAUAUAGUCUCAAAACAAACAAAAGCCCUUCUAGGCUUCUAGCAUAGGCUGUUGACUGUAUGAUGGUGCCACUCACACAGAUAAGAAACACAGACCAAGGAGUGAGCUGCAGAAUAAUAUAACUUAGACAUUGUUGGCUAUGAGAGCCUAUAGAACCUCCUAUAGAACCUAUAGGAGUGAGUGAAAAUGCCUAGGAUGUAGUAAGAUUCAUGGAUUCCUUUUCAUUCCUUAGGUAGUUAUACUCAACAAAGAUUCCCAAUGGGCAGUUAUGUAGGAAGUUUGGAAAUAAUGUCAAAAGUCUAAAGAGACAAAGAUUUAAGUCACUAAUGUAGUAGAAAUCAUAAGGGUAAAUUAACCUAAAUGGACUUUCAGGGCUUUUCUGUGAAGGAAACUUAAAAUGACUAUGAAAAUGUUGGUGAGUAAUACCUCAGCUCCCAGGAAAGUUCAAAAGCGGAGGGAGGGCUCAAAAGUUAAGAAGGAUGGAUGAAUAUCUAAUAUAUUUGACUGUUGGAACUUUUUGGUGGUAUUGGUGAGAAGUUGUUGGGUAAAGUCAGGGUCAGUCUGAUGAACAGUAAGCAAAUGAGAGGUCAGGAGGCCGAGGAACUGAAAUUCAACUCCUUUCCUAAAGCGUGGUUGCAGGAAAGGAAGGCAUUAAUACAAGUAAUGAGAAACAGAAUGCCCUCUCACAAACCUUUUACGUAGAAGGUGGAAGACAAUUACCUGUGUUCAUGGACUGCCUUAAGUUCAGCAAAGAGCUAAUAGGAAGGAGGGGAGUGAGAGAGGUUGGAAGUAAUUGGUAGGUACAAAGUACAGUCUUUGUGUUUGUUUGUUUGUUUUCGAGGCAGGGUUUCUCUAUGUAGCCCUGGCUGUCCUGGAACUCACUUUGUAGACCAGGCUGGCCUAGAACUCAGAAAUCCGCCUGCCUCUGCCUCCCAAGUGCUGGGAUUAAAGGCAUGUGCCACCACUGCCGGGCCAGAGUACAGUCUUAAUCAGUAGUCAAGACAGCUUUUCCCUGCAGUGUGGGGAAAGGGGUGGGUCAAGGUGAUAUUGUCAAGAGUGAGGUCCAAGGAAGAGAAGUAAUAGCUAGUUGUUUGUCUGCAUCUUAUUUUUAAAUAGAGGGUUUAUUGAAGAUUAGGGUAGUGCUCAUACAAAAUGAUAAAGGGAUUAACUGGGGACUCUCACUUGGAUUUUCUAAGGGACAUACUGAAGACCAGUUAAAAUUAUAAACCUGUAGGAUUUCUAAUGUCUAUGGGAUACCUCCUCCCUCAAAGGAUGUAUCUGGCAUCAUGUGGGAUCUUAGAGAUUUGGUUUUUAUCUAAUUAAUGAGUGGACAGGCAAGAAUAAUAUUAAGGACCUGAUUAAGAAAAUCCAUUGCAGGGUUUAGAUGCCAGAGAUAAACUGAAG
rnacentral:lncRNA from 1 species